rnacentral:misc_RNA from 1 species
AGCAGCCGCGGUAAUUCCAGCUCCAAUAGCGUAUAUUAAAGUUGUUGCAGUUAAAAAGCUCGUAAGUUGAAUUUCGGGGUUAGUAGGUUGGUCAUGCCACUGGUAUGUACUGGUCUCACUGAUUCCUCCUUCCUGAUGAGCCGUAAUGCCAUUAAUUUGGUGUUGCGGGGAA